GAUGAACGCUAGCUACAGGCCUAACACAUGCAAGUCGAGGGACCGGCGCACGGGUGAGUAACACGUAUCCAACCUGCCCUUUCCUCGGGGAUAGCCUUUCGAAAGAACGAUUAAUACCCGAUAUAAAGGAUGGGGAUGCGUUCCAUUAGGUUGUGGGUGAGGUAACGGCUCACCAAGCCUUCGAUGGAUAGGGGUUCUGAGAGGAAGGUCCACUAGAUUGGAAAUGCGACACGGUCCAAACGCCUACGGGAGGCAGCGGUGCGGAGUAGUGGGCGAUGGGCGCUAAUCUGAACAAGCCAAGUAGCGUAAGGGAUGCAGGCUUAUGAGGCGUAUACUGGUGAUAAGGAAGAAGCUGUAUUAUAUGAAUAAGGAUCGGCUAACUCCGUGCCAGCAGCCGCGGUAAUAC
rnacentral:rRNA from 1 species